AGAACGGGUAUCGAAAACCCUUUUUACGAAGAUGGCGCCGAAAGCUAAGAAGGAAGCCCCUGCCCCUCCCAAAGCCGAAGACAAAGCAAAGGCUUUGAAGGCAAAGACAGAAGUGUGGAAAGGGGUCCACAGCCACAAAA